rnacentral:rRNA from 1 species
CAUGCAAGUCGAACGCCCCGCAAGGGGAGUGGCAGACGGGUGAGUAACGCGUGGGAACGUACCCUUCGGUUCGGAAUAACCCGGGGAAACUCGGGCUAAUACCGGAUACGUCCUUCUCUGGAGACAGAGGGGGAGAAAGAUUUAUCGCCGAAGGAUCGGCCCGCGUCCGAUUAGCUAGUUGGUGAGGUAAUGGCUCACCAAGGCGACGAUCGGUAGCUGGUCUGAGAGGAUGAUCAGCCACACUGGGACUGAGACACGGCCCAGACUCCUACGGGAGGCAGCAGUGGGGAAUAUUGGACAAUGGGCGAAAGCCUGAUCCAGCGACGCCGCGUGGGUGAAGAAGGCCUGCGGGUUGUAAAGCCCUUUCGGUGGGGAAGAAAAGCCUCGAGCUAAUACCUCGGGGUCUUGACGUAACCCAUAGAAGAAGCACCGGCUAACUCUGUGCCAGCAGCCGCGGUAAUACAGAGGGUGCGAGCGUUAAUCGGAAUUACUGGGCGUAAAGCGCGCGUAGGCGGCUUUGCAAGUCGGGUGUGAAAUCCCCAGGCUUAACCUGGGAACUGCACUCGAGACUGCAUUGCUAGAGUAUGGGAGAGGGAAGUGGAAUUUCAGGUGUAGCGGUGAAAUGCGUAGAUAUCUGAAGGAACAUCAGUGGCGAAAGCGACUUCCUGGACCAAUACUGACGCUCA